AUUGUGAAGAAGAAAUCGUAAAGCUCAAAAUUUUACAUGGAAUGGAUGUGAGAUGGGGUGCAUGGGUGCAUCCCGCGCUUUUUGUGACAUUAAUUUUGAGACAGCUGUGCUGAACUGACUUUAUUUUAGAGCGAAAGCGAAGAUUCUCGGUUAACUAUUAUUAUUUUUGAAUUUUAAUCUAACUUAAAUCACGAACCUAUUAUUCAAAAAUAAUUUAAGACCAUAAAACAGUUGGAUUUCAUACAUAUUGACUUGAAAACAUGGAGAAAGAUAAAGCGUCUCACGCGACGCCUACCCAAAGGGGGAAUACAAAGGAAUCGGAUAAGAAAGCAAGUUCUAUAGGCUCUAGAAGGGUUGAGAAAUCUCUAGACUCUAAUACAAUACAAGAAAUAUUUGAUUCGGACGAUUCUGAAACUGAAGACCAUAACAACUAUGAUUUUGAAAAAAAUGGUCAAAAAAGACUUACUGCAUAUCACAAUAAUGAAUUUACAAAGAAAGCUCGCGUCGCGUCUGUAGAAUCUGAUGACCUUAUAAAUGAUCUCGAAGAAUACUAUUUGACAAUCACCAACUUCCCAAAGGAUUGGAAUUUUCUGCAAAUUAAAGAUUAUUUGGACAGAAUGUGCGGCCACAUUGAUGAGAUGCAGAUCUUACGAAGGAAAAGAAGAUCAAAGAUCUUUGCCGUAAGACUUACUUUCCAAUGCUUUGAAAAAUGCAUAGAAGUGCUGAAGAAAUUGGACAAAGCCAUAGUCAAGGGGAAUGUACUGAAAGUGAGAAUAAGUGAGUCCUAUAUGGCAUAUUCCGUGGACUGUUCUGGCGUUAACCUGGUGGAUGAUGAUUCUCGAUUUUUGAAAUCUAAAGCCGCUGCAAGCGCCCAAUGGAGACCACUCGAUGACUUUUGGGGCAAAGACCCCGAGGGCCUAUACGGUCUGAAACCAGAAUUCUUGCAGUGUCUGAAUAUAAAGCCACCGCUGAGUAGAAUCGUUCAUGUUACUAAUUUCAGAUGCGAUAAAACUGAAUUGAGAGAUGUGAUGGAGAUGGCGGGCACGGUGACAAUGAUCAGUGUUAUUUAUACUAACCACAAAUAUGCCAAAGUCGUCUUCAGCCACCCUUUGGAAGCUGUUCAGGCCAUUUCUAUGUUGGAUGGGCAAUUGUAUUACGGGCUUCCUCUAAAGAUUAUGAUCGAUAGGAACCCUCCAGAUAUCAUUGUGAAGCCUAAAGGCCUUGCUGGGGUCGGCCAGGGCUUAGGACUCCGCGGAACACCGUUACGGAACAUUGCGCAUGAAUACCAGAGAUUCCUAAACCAACAAGAAUCAGCGAUAAACCCUGUAGUGUUUGCAAACAUUAAAACUAAAGGAAAGAAUGAGAAAGAAGAUAGUAAAGAGGUUGUGAAUGAUAUUACGGAGUUUUUCAAGAUGCCUCCCGCUUGUAAUGUGAUUAAUUCGACAGUGCCCACGGUCCCAAUGAUUGUUGGCAUCGAUGACUUGGAAUGUCCCGAGCCUAAUCCGGAGGACAAAGAGAAGUCCAAGGCUAGCGGUGAUACUAAAGGACCUGAUAAACAGAAAUCUUCAACGAACCGCAAAGACAAAUCUGGUUCGCCUGGCAAUUCUACUCCUUACUUUAAAUCAUCGCCAAAGAAACAAAAUUAUAGUGUUGCCGACAUAAUGCCGAAUUGUAUGGUUAAUUCUUUCAUGUUUGCCCCUUUUGAUCCAUUUUUUGGGUCUGCUCCAAACAAUAGGCCUCCAUUCUUUCACGCCAGGGAUUGCCCUUUUGAGCCCCGCAUUCCUUUCCCUAUGGGUCCCCCACCAACUCAUAUAAUACCACCGAAUUUCAAUGGACUCCCACCAAAAGGAAAGGUGACAGUGAAGUUUUCAAAUCUUCCCCCGUCCACAACAUUUCCAUUGCUCUGUGAACAGUUGGCCCAGUGUGGUCAGGUGAUGCUGGUUCAGCUGACCACGCCAGGAUGUGCUGUGGCCACCUUCGGACAUCCAUCUCAAGCUGACAGAUGUAUUAGUAUUUUCAAAGGACUAAAUGUAAUGGGAUACGUGAUAGAUGUGGAAUAUGCCUGAAUAUUGGUAAGUGGUGUUUCGCCCGGAACCUGAAUACAGGCCGUGGUUUACAGGGUGGAAAAUACAAUGUUUUGUGCACAGUCUCAUUGUAGAAUAACUCAUGCAGGUGUCGCUUUACAACUAACAUUAGUACCGUUAGUAUGAGUUUACUUUACGUUUGAAGUAAUUGAAAGGAAAGCGCGUUUGGCGCUCUAAUUGGUUGGUUUAUUCGAGCUGGCCAAUUAAAGCACCGAACGCGCCCUCGUUUCGAUUACUUUAACCCUUUAACCGCCUGACGCCUUAACCGGCCUUAGUCAAAUACUCAAUUUUAAGACAGUCUCAAAUAUAGUUCUGUCCCUACAAAUUCUUUGUAAGUGGUAGAGAUAGCACGAGAUAUAAGUACAACUUAAAUUUGAGUAGCGUUUCAGUAUUCGGGCGUAAGUCAUAGAUGCGACACAAAUUUCCGUGUCUGCCUCUCAUAUCGUAUUGCCGUGACAGAGAACAAGCAUGAUUUUUUCGUUCUAUUCACACGAUUGCUCCUCCUUAUUUAAUGUAGAUACAUAUAUUUUCUUUGUUUUGUAACUGCGUGCUAGUGGUACGAUAAUAUAAUUGAUAUUUGACUUGAGGGGUUAAAGUGUUUAACGUAAAGCAAACUUAUACUAAGGGUACAAUAAAUUAUACUGUAGUAUUAAAAAUUGUAACGAAUAACCAUAUCACGUUAAUAAUUAUUAUGUAAUCCAUUAGUUAAUAAUCAUUGGUGGUAUUUGUAGAGCUAUUUAUCUAUUAAAGAAUGUUGCAAGCUUUGUUAAUCAACUAAUUAAUUUUUAUGUGAAUUGUUUUGCGCGUGUGUGCAUUUCACAUAACUGUGUAUACGAUGAUAAUACGAGUAUUAAGUUAACAUAGUGUGGUGUCUGUCUGUAAUUUCAUUGUAUAUGUUUAAUGAUAGUAUAUUUAAAUAUUACUAAGAAUGAACUCAUUUUAAAUAUUGUAAUCCUACUCAUUAAUAUGGACUUGUAUCGGAAGGCUGAUUGCAUGUUUUAGAACGGUAAUUUGGUACUGGGAAGAAGCAGGUGAUAUACUAACUUAAGCUUUUAACUAAUAAUAUUACUAACAGACUAAUGUAAUGGGAUUUGGGUGUAGGUAAUGUGUUAUUAUAAUCAGCCACUGUGCUGAUACCAGCAUAAAAAUAUGCUUGCAAAGGAAGAAGACUGAACAUUAAAUUAUUUAUUUUGUACGGCUUACACUCGUACAUAUUCGAUGUGGUACGACUAGUUUCAAGCGGAUCAGGGGCCCAUAAUCAUCGUGGCGAGCGUUGACGUAUCGGCUUGCCUACUCUCGUAAAUAUGUCAUGAGGUAAAUCGACUAGUUUCAAGCGCACCAGGGGCUCAUAAUCAAAGUCGCGAGCGUCGGCGUAUAGGCUUCCUCUCGUAAAUAUUCGAUGAGAUAAAUCGAUUAGUUUCAAGCGCACCAGGGUCUCAUAAUCAAUGUGGCGAGCGUCGGCGUAUCGGCUUACUCUCGUAAAUAUUCGACGACGUAAAUCGACUAGUUUCAAGCGCAUCAAGGGCCCAUAAUCAGCGUGGCUAAUGUCGAGUAGACAAUGAUUUGGAGUCGAGUGACCUUUCCGAAAAGUUUUUUCUGUACCACGACUGUGGCAAGGAUUGUGGUCCACCUGAUGGUAGUAAGGUAGUUACCAUGGCCUUUGAGGUUAUGUAAGUCGUAUAAUAUAAUUAAUUUAAGAUUGAUUAAGAAGCGGUGCUGAAAAUGUUACAGAGAAGCUGGAUAGCAGUGUUUUUAUGUAUUUUGGAGAAAUGUAAACUCAAUGUGGUGAUAUUAUAAAAGGAACUGCUUAGUAGGUAAGAACUACGAUGUAUGAAUGUGAUGGAAGCUGUAAGGAUAGAAAUGAAAGGUUGGUGUUGCGUUAUAUACACUUCUGUCUACCUCUUUAGAGAUGAAGAGGAGUGAUUAGUGUGUUAUUUGAUAUUGUUCAAGUUUGUGUAAAGAAAGAAUCGUUGUCUCGUUGGUCGUCUGACCUGGGUUUCGAUUCCCGGUCGGCCAAAGUAUUACUGAGCUUUUUUUGAAAAAGCACGGAGUCUGGAAUUGUGCCCAGUAUAUGGCAAUAGGCUCACCCCCUAUUACAUGGCACUUGUAACACAUGGUGAAAAGUGUGUGUACAUUGUAAUGCAUUACGUACCGUAAUGUGUACCGCUGCCUACCUCUUCUGGGAUAAAAGGCGUGAUGUUGCUAGAAUCGUGGUCCUCAAAUUCCACUAAUUCUUAGUAUAUACCUUUUGUGGGGUUGGAUGAUUGCUAUCUUAUUACAGUGGUUGUGGAAGGCAACCACAAAUUACAUGGAAAUGUCAGUAUUACAUGGAAAUAUCAGUAUUAUAUUACCAAAUAAUAAUUAUCUAUAAUUUGUAAUUCCAGUAGCUUAGGAGUAUAAUUUAAUUAAGUAAUUAUAGUUUUCUUUAUAAACGUUUAUUUUAUUACAAUAAUGUAUUAAGUAAACUGUACUGUUUUUGUUAAGUGUCAAUGUAUUCCCUUUAUUUUAGGUACUUGUGUAUUACGUUAGGUUAGGUUGUCAUUAAUACAAUUCAUGUUCCUUGUUUUUUAUAAUACAUAUAUAAAAUAAUUUGAUUUCCACGGUCUCGAGUCCGUGCACUUGUCAUGCAAUUGAUGUUAAAUGUCUUAGGAUGGUAAGUGACCGUAGCAGAAAAUUUAUCUUGAACAAUUUGCUGUCAGCAGUUAUAGUGUUAAGUUUCACUGGUGUAAUAAGUUUACUUGGUUCCUAGAUCGGGCUAAACUGUUAGGGUUUCCGAUCCCUGAGGUUCUUAGUACAUAAGUAAGUCGUUAAUUGAGCCUAAUGUAUAUGCCUAAUGUAUGGUAAUCCGGAGCUGCGAACUACUGCGGUUUACCGGGGCUCCGGCUCGAAAAGCAGGAGUAGGAAUGGGGUGGAUUUUAGUCAGUAAGAGUCUGACACUCCCUCUCGCCUCGCCCUGACAAGAGAAGUCAUGAGAUGAUUUCCCCCCCCCUUAAAAAAUGUAUAUGGUAAUAGGACUGACAUAAGAAAUAAAAUAGGCGAAAAGUAGGUCCUAUGCUUGACGUAUGCUCCUGUGCUUACCCCCUUCUUCAUAGGAGAGAAUGUGUGAUUUUAUGAUAUGCUGUGUUACACUAUUAUAGGUUUAUUGUGUGCUAUAUAGGUAAAUGUGCCAAAGGACAUUUUAUCA